AUCGGUUAGUUUUGUCAUCAUUCCAAAUAUGGCGUACAAUGUUGUUGUUAGCCCUUUCAAAUUUUCAGUAGUAUGCAAAGUUCGUCUCUUCAAGUGAUCUCACUCAUUCACUUUCAUCCCUUCUCUUUUCUUUAGAACUACUACUUCAUUAAGAUGAACGGUGGCUGCCCUAAUGCAAAAUCAGAUCAAAGUACCGUACCAGAAUCACACAGAAAUGAGGAGCCCACCACCCAAAAAUGCAAGGUAUUAUUAUGG
rnacentral:lncRNA from 1 species